UAAGAUUUGUUUAGUUUUUGUUUAGGAUUUGAUUAGAGUUUGGUUAGGAUUUGACUAGAAUUUGGUUAAGAUUUGUUUAUGGUUUGAUUAGGAUUUGGUUAUGAUUUAUUUAGGAUUUAGUUAGGAUUUAUUUAGGAUUUGGUUAGGAUUUGGUUAGGAUUUGGUUAGAGUUUGAUUAAGAUUUGUUUAGGAUUUGAUGAGAAUUUGAUUAGGAUUUAUUUAAGAUUUGACUAGGGUUUGCUUAGAAUUUGGUUAAGAUUUGUUUAGGAUUUGGUUAAGAUUUGAUUAAGUUUUAUUUAGGAUUUGACUAGGAUUUAUUUAAGAUUUGGUUAGGAUUUAUUUAGAAUUUGUUUAGGAUUUGAUUAGAAUUUGUUCAGGAUUUAUUUAAGAUUUGACUAGGAUUUGAUUAAGGUUUGUUUAGGAUUUGAUUGAGAUUUGGUUAAGAUUUGUUAGUAUUUGAGUAGGAUUUAUUUAGGAUUUGGUUAAAAUUUGUUAGUAUUUGAGUAGGAUUUAUUUAAGAUUUAGUAAGGAUCUGAUUAGAAUUUGAAUAGAAUUUGAUUAGAUAUUGAUUAAGAUUUAAUUAGGAUUUCUAUUUUAAUAUUUUAUUAAAGUUUUUAUUUUAGUAUAUUUUUAAAUUUCUAUGUUAUUUCUUUAUGAUUUUUUAAAGAAUCUUUAAAAAUACUUUGUGUUUCUUAUAUAGUUCAUUUGUAAUUUUAAUUGAAUUUGAUCAAUGUUUGAUUAUAUUUACUAAUCUUUAAUUAUAAUUUUUUUAAGUAUCUAUUAGAGAUGUUAGGACUUAUUUUUGCAAUUUUCCUUUUAUCUUCCAUAACCAAGUGUCCAAUGUAUUCUCAAGCCAAAUGCCAUGUAAUACGACAAU
rnacentral:lncRNA from 1 species